rnacentral:lncRNA from 1 species
AAAAUGUAGCUGUCAACUGGCUUUGGAGUGGACGGGGGAAUGUCUGUUUUGAUGCGAUUCUGCAGUAAACGUCUGAUUAAGAAUCAAGGGUUGGGAAUAGUGACUUUUCCCUUGGCCCGUGGGCGAGGAUGUCUAGUGUGUGGAGCUGUAGGACCUGAACUACCUAAGGCAUAGGAAACCCAUGAAAGCCAGCUCAUCUACGGAGAUGUACUCACGGUCCACCAGCAGGCUCCAGCUGCAGGACACCUGGCCAAGGCUAUUGGAUGCUGUGCAGCUGUACCUCCCACUGUCUCUCGUCCGGGCUCUCAGCAGGCACAGGUGAUGGGAUACACCAUCUUCAUAAACCUCAGUGAUGCCUUCCCGUCUCCUCACGGGGAUGCCUUCCAGGAACCAGCCCACGUCAGGCUUUGGUAUACCUGAAACUACAGGGCCAUGUGUGGAACACGUGCCCUCAGGGAGCACUGUGUGCUUAUAAGGUGAGGUGGGGAGAGACUGAUCACGAUGGAAGAAUUCAGGCUGGGUGGAACUGAUUCCCUACAUCCGAGCCCGCCUCCUGCACUCAUGGAGUCGAAGUCCUGUGAGAGGCAGGGUCCUGACGUGGGACAGAGCAGGGUGAUGGGCCAGUUCUCCAGGUGAGACAGGAACAGGAAAGGGAGGACAGAGAGGAAGGCACCUGCAGUGUGUUUGUCAUGAUGGAGACACCAGGGGUGAGUUAGGGCAUAGAACCAAUGCUGUGUUUCAUACUCUUGGAUGUCUCUCUAGAAAGCGAAGGCAUUAGAGACUGAACACUUCCUAAAGGGAAGACCCUGGAAGGAAGCUUCCUGGAGGGCCUAGUUUAAGGGGUGCAUACAUACGGGAGGUGCAGACUGGUGUGUGCUGAAGGGAAGGAAUGGCCACCGAGGAGCUGAAUUUUGGGAAGCGGCGCUUUAAUCAGUUUUACUCACCCUCGCAGAUGAACUUGACUGUCUGACCUUCAGUGACUUCCUGGCUUUGGGGCUGACUCUCAAAUCUGGGGAAUGUUGACUCCCUUUGGCUCUCUCUGGGGAUGUUCCCGGUAACAAACUUGUUCCCAACGGAACCUCCCAGGCUAGACUGUCUGGUAGGGAGUGUGGCUUGCUGAGGGGCAGCCAGACUCUUCCUGUCUUCCCCAGGAGAGAAGGACCCUAUGGCUGGUACUCUCGCUUCUGGCUGGACUUUCAAGGCCUGCAGAGUGAUGGUGCUGGUGGACUUCUGCAGGAUGGAGGACUGCGGGACCUUUCUGGGAGCAUCCUCACACAGCUUUGGCUUGGGCUCCUGCGGGGACUUGAGGUGACUGUUGGUGGCCCGGGCUGAGGAGCCACUCCUCUGGGGACUUGGACAGUUCUUACUUUCAGCCACAGUCUCUGGGUCUUUGGAGACUCCAUUGGUCACCUCCUUCCUGAUGUCUGGACUGGGGGCUUUGGUUCCUCUCACAGCCAACCUGUAUGACAAUGAUGGUCAGGAGGGGAGAAGGCACCAGGGACAGAGUGGCCACCUGGUUACUUUGCAAACAUUACUUCCCACGGUACAGAUUUCAGGUACCACAAAGCCCACAGGGGAAAGUUGAUAGUGAAGUACUGUAGCUUGCUCUGUAUCCCCAAGCCAGAGCUCAGGGGAUACUUGGCUCUCCCAGUCCCUUGCUUCCACCAGUAGUCCUGUGCAUUGAUAUAUCUCUUCUCCCUGGGGCUCUGGAGUUCAAACCAACCACAGACUUCCUUAGCUCACAUGGCCCCUCCCUAGUCCAAUUCUAAAUAGUCACUGCAGACAACAUAAAUUGAGUUAUACCACUUGAAGGUCAAGGAGUUUUUUAGCUUUCCACUCUAUUAAUAAAGGUGGGCAUCGCAAUGGCAGACAGAGCCCUAGCUGCCUUCUGCCAUACAAGCCACUGACCUGCAGCCAGCCAGGCUACUAGAGCUGCAUGGAGGUUAUCUGGGCCCCACAGACCUCCUCUUGGGGCUUUUCAGCACCGUUCCUUCUGGUUGGAAUAUGGUCUCCCAAGCUUUUCUUCACCUGCUAAUGUUACACUUCCCUGGUCUGUGUUCAAAUGUGGGAUUUUCAGAAAGGGCAUUGUCAACCCAGUAACUGACAUUCGUGUCUUGGUCAUGAUUCCCCACAGGGACUACAGCUGUAAUUCCAUAUGCGAGGCAGUUGACAGCCCUUCUCUACAACCGACAGUCAGCUCUACCCUGGGUCCUGCAUCUCUAUGCUUCAUAUCCUGAAAGGAAGGAAGGAAGCAAGGGGUCUGUAGGCCAGAGCAGAGUGGCUUCUGGCCUGGGGUAGGGUUACAGCGCCUUUAGUGUGGUCUGCUUUGAAGACACUGAGACUACACUGAGGAAGACACAGCACUGAGCGUCCCAAGAAACUUCUUACGGAUGGAACCUCCAAUCAAACCAGGCAGCAAACUACCCCAGGAAAACAGAGCAAAGCACCCCAAGGAAAGCGGUCCUCUGAGCCAACCCUCAUUUCCUACACAAGGACUUCAGAAGUCAGGGCAUUUAGCUGCUGCUGUUCUGUGCGGAGUAUAAGCUGGAAAGCAACAAUUAUGAAGAAAGACAUACCUAGCGGCAUUGUCCAAACCUGGAAGAGGGGCAGAAAGACAGCUGGUUAUUUUAUAUGCCAAGCAGAGACAAUGAGAAGGUGACAUUUUUUUUCUUUAGUACAGAGCUUCCCUGCUCAGGGCUCUGGGUAGGCCGAGAGAGCUUUCUCACACUAGAGACACUUCUCUGACUGGGCUUUAUAACAGCAGCCGGGGCCUGAGGGCACGGACUCCAUUCUGCUUCACCAAACAGGAGGAUGCAUUAUCAACCGAGCCACAUAUCAAGGGACAAACCCUCUAGUGAAAAGGCCAACAACACUUGGCUACCUUCAGCCUUCUGAACUGCCCCCCCCC